rnacentral:rRNA from 1 species
UGGGGAAUUUUUCGCAAUGGGCGCAAGCCUGACGAAGCAACGCCGCGUGGAGGAUGAAGGUCUUCGGAUUGUAAACUCCUGUCGACCGGGACGAAUGCACCCGACCUAAUACGUCGGAGUGUUGACGGUACCGGUGGAGGAAGCCACGGCUAACUCUGUGCCAGCAGCCGCGGUAAUACAGAGGUGGCAAGCGUUGUUCGGAAUUACUGGGCGUAAAGGGCGCGUAGGCGGCCUUGUAAGUCUCGUGUGAAAGCCCUCGGCUUAACUGAGGAUCUGCACGGGAUACUGCGAGGCUUGAGUUCGGGAGAGGAAAGCGGAAUUCCGGGUGUAGCGGUGAAAUGCGUAGAUAUCCGGAGGAACACCAGUGGCGAAGGCGGCUUUCUGGACCGACACUGACGCUGAGGCGCGAAAGCUAGGGGAGCAAACGGG